GGGCCGCGGGGAGGCGCGAGCAGCGGAGGGCAGAGCGACCGCCGGCUGGGACUUCCCUGCGCUCGAUGCGCCCAGCACGCUGGGCUGACCCCGCUGUGGGCCGGCGGGAGCGCAGCUGAAAGAGAAAAGUGAGGCUCGGCUGCCGCCUCAGCUGCCGCUUAACCGGCUCCUCUUCGCCGGGUGGCCCCUGGGUCAUCGGAGGCCCCGACCUGGCUCUUGGAAGGCAGUGUGUCCAGACGUUGGAAGCGCCAGACCUCACAGAUUUACCGUCGGUGAUGGAAGGGCUUUUCAUCUGUAUAAGGCUUUGCACUUCACAGGGGGCGUGUGCAGAACAUGGCAGGUGUUGGCCAUGGCCUGAUGGUGGAGCAGUCCCACCUGGCGCUUGCACCUGCUGCUGGUGCCGGCCCUGCUCACACCUGUUGCCGGCGCUGGAGCCGCCACUCGCACCCACUGCCAGUACCAGCUCCACUUGCACCUGCAGCCAGCACCAGAGCCAAUGCUUGCACCCGCUGCCGGUGCCCAGAGCCGGUCCAGAUCACUCAGCUCCGUCCGCAGUUGUGAGCACUGGCACCCAUUGCUGGCGCCAGCCCAUUUGCUCUGCAUCAUCAGUGGGUGGCAGCCGGGUCAGCAGGCCCCCGGUCAGACUUCCUCGCAGAUGUGCAGGCUUCCUUACGUGGCUUGUGUUCACACGUCUGGUCUGUAGGAUGUGAUUCUACAGCUCCUCGGAGGACAGGCUCAUGCUCCUGUGGUAACAAGGCAAUUGCUGGCGAGGUCGCAACCGAGUCAUGAGUGCAGGGUGGCAUCUGAGCAGUAAACUGUUGCAUAGGAAGAGUUGAGACCCACCAUUUUACACACAGUGGUGAGCAAAAGUAGGUUGACAGUUUUUCGUAUGGAAAAUAGUACAAUAAUUAAUAAAUAAUAAUACAA